GAUGAACGCUAGCUACAGGCUUAACACAUGCAAGUCGAGGGGAAACGAUAGAGAAAGCUUGCUUUUUCUAGGCGUCGACCGGCGCACGGGUGAGUAACGCGUAUCCAACCUGCCCAUCACUUGGGGAUAACCUUGCGAAAGUAAGACUAAUACCCAAUGACGUCUCUAGAAGACAUCUGAAAGGGAUUAAAGAUUUAUCGGUGAUGGAUGGGGAUGCGUCUGAUUAGCUUGUUGGCGGGGUAACGGCCCACCAAGGCGACGAUCAGUAGGGGUUCUGAGAGGAAGGUCCCCCACAUUGGAACUGAGACACGGUCCAAACUCCUACGGGAGGCAGCAGUGAGGAAUAUUGGUCAAUGGACGAGAGUCUGAACCAGCCAAGUAGCGUGCAGGAUGACGGCCCUAUGGGUUGUAAACUGCUUUUAUAAGGGAAUAAGGUGAGAGUCGUGACUCUUUUUGCAUGUACCUUAUGAAUAAGGACCGGCUAAUUCCGUGCCAGCCGCCGCUGUAA
rnacentral:rRNA from 1 species